rnacentral:rRNA from 1 species
CAAUAGCGUAUAUUAAAGUUGUUGCGGUUAAAAAGCUCGUAGUUGGAUUUCUGUUGGGAACGACCGGUCCGCCCAUUGGGUGUGUAUCUGGCUUGUUCUCGGCAUCUUCUUGGUGAACGUUGCUGCACUUGACUGUGUGGAGCGCUACCCAGGACUUUUACUUUGAGGAAAUUAGAGUGUUUCAAGCAGGCAUAUGCCUUGAAUACAUUAGCAUGGAAUAAUAAGAUAGGACCUCGGUUCUAUUUUGUUGGUUUCUAGAGCUGAGGUAAUGAUUAAUAGGGAUAGUUGGGGGCAUUCGUAUUUAACUGUCAGAGGUGAAAUUCUUGGAUUUGUUAAAGACGGACUACUGCGAUAGCAUUUGCCAAGGAUGUUUUCAUUGA